GGAAUAUUCAUGGAGCUGCAGACACCGACAACGGGCGCCAGUAAACGAUACCGUUUUUCAUGGUGCUCACGCUGGACAGGAGCGACAACCUAGCAAGCCACAAGUCUGAUGCCUCAAGCCGUCACCACUUUUUUAUUUAUUCUUAAUCACAAGGAAUAAAUAUGGAAACAUGA